rnacentral:rRNA from 1 species
UACGUAGGCAGCAAGCGUUGUUCGGAGUUACUGGGCGUAAAAGGGUGCGUAGGCGGGUCCUAUAAGUAUGGUGUGAAAUCUCCCGGCUUAACUGGGAGGUGCGCUAUAGACUGUGGGACUAGAGUGUGGGAGAGGAAAGUGGAAUUCCUGGUGUAGCGGUGAAAUGCGUAGAUAUCAGGAGGAACACCGGUGGUGUAAACGCUUCUGGACGAUAAACUGAC